rnacentral:rRNA from 1 species
UACGUAGGGUGCGAGCGUUGCCCGGAUUUAUUGGGCGUAAAGGGCGCGUAGGCGGCUCGGCACGUCCGUUGUGAAAUCCCCCGGCUCAACUGGGGAACUGCACAGGAAACUAGCGGGCUUGAGUUCGGGAGAGGGAAGCGGAAUUCCGGGUGGUAGCGGUGAAAUGCGCAGAUAUCAGGAGGAACACCGGUGGCGAAGGCGGUUCUCUGGGAAUGUCCUGACGCUGAGGAGCGAAAGUGUGGGGAGCGAACAGG